UACGUAGGGUGCAGGCGUUAAUCGGAAUUACUGGGCGUAAAGCGUGCGCAGGCGGUUUUUUAAGUCAGCUGUGAAAUCCCCGGGCUUAACCUGGGAACUGCGGUUGAAACUGGAAAGCUUGAGUGCGGCAGAGGGGGGUGGAAUUCCACGUGUAGCAGUGAAAUGCGUAGAGAUGUGGAGGAACACCGAUGGCGAAGGCAGCCCCCUGGGUCGACACUGACGCUCAUGCACGAAAGCGUGGGGAGCAAGCAGG
rnacentral:rRNA from 1 species